rnacentral:rRNA from 1 species
CCAGUCACGACGCAUAUCAAUAAGCGGAGGAAAAGAAACCAACAGGGAUUGCCUCAGUAACGGCGAGUGAAGCGGCAAGAGCUCAAAUUUGAAAGCUGGCCCCCUCGGGGUCCGCGUUGUAAUUUGCAGAGGAUGCUUCGGGAGCGGCCCCCAUCUAAGUGCCCUGGAACGGGCCGUCAUAGAGGGUGAGAAUCCCGUCUGGGAUGGGGUGCCCGCGCCCGUGUGAAGCUCCUUCGACGAGUCGAGUUGUUUGGGAAUGCAGCUCUAAAUGGGUGGUAAAUUUCAUCUAAAGCUAAAUACUGGCCGGAGACCGAUAGCGCACAAGUAGAGUGAUCGAAAGAUGAAAAGCACUUUGAAAAGAGAGUUAAACAGCACGUGAAAUUGUUGAAAGGGAAGCGCUUGCGACCAGACUCGCUCGCGGGGUUCAGCCGGCCUUCGGGCCGGUGUACUUCCUCGCGGGCGGGCCAGCGUCGGUUUGGGCGGCCGGUCAAAGGCCCUCGGAAUGUAACGCCCCCCGGGGCGUCUUAUAGCCGAGGGUGCCAUGCGGCCAGCCCGGACCGAGGAACGCGCUUCGGCUCGGACGCUGGCAUAAUGGUCGUAAGCG